GACACAUGUUUCUUCUGUCAUGUUAUAGAACACAUGUCUCAAUCCCAACAAGUAAUUGGAAUUGGACUUUAGCAAAAUCCUUGUUAGUAUAUGACAAAUUUAUGUAGAGAUCUCCAAUUGCUCGAACAAGUCUUGAGCAGCCUGUUCAACUAUUCGGGAAUAAGAUUCAGUUGCAUUUGCAACCACAGGGCUAUACAACAAAAUAGAAUGGGUGUUUAUGCCCCACCAUGGCAUUGGCAUACAGUAUUUUGUGGUGAAUGGUGAUGGCACUCUUUCUGGAUACCAAUAUCUAGUCAAGUGACACGACCAGCACAAAGGGACUAAACAAUCAGCUGAAAUGUUAUGAGCCAAGAUUUUCUUUUUUCUCGAUCCCAAGUACACGCAACAGUGAAAAUUACUAUUAAAUUUUGAAUUCAAUGAUAAUUUUUACUGUCAGAUCAAAGAAUAUAGACUUAUGAAUGUACGUAGCAUUUUUCUUUUUCUUUCUCUGAAUUCCGUUCUUUAUUUGGAAGAGUCCUGUGUAGGUUAUCUUCUGUGGGGGUGUGAAUUUUCUGUGGAGGUGGGAACAUGGCGGAGAGGGGUUGUCCUAUCCAUUAUUCGUGUUUUCUGGGGACCAUUUCAUAGAUUGCCAUCGGAGGAUUUAAUUUCCACUUGAAACAUUAUUUGAUUCGUUUACUGUUGUCAUUUGUCUGGAAAUGAAUAUGAAUCUCUGGAGUUUGGAAA